AUUGAACGCUGGCGGCAGGCCUAACACAUGCAAGUCGAGCGGAUGAAGGGAGCUUGCUCCUGGAUUCAGCGGCGGACGGGUGAGUAAUGCCUGGGAAUCUGCCUGGUAGUGGGGGAUAACGUCCGGAAACGGGCGCUAAUACCGCAUACGUCCUGAGGGAGAAAGUGGGGGAUCUUCGGACCUCACGCUAUCAGAUGAGCCUAGGUCGGAUUAGCUAGUUGGUGGGGUAAAGGCCUACCAAGGCGACGAUCCGUAACUGGUCUGAGAGGAUGAUCAGUCACACUGGAACUGAGACACGGUCCAGACUCCUACGGGAGGCAGCAGUGGGGAAUAUUGGACAAUGGGCGAAAGCCUGAUCCAGCCAUGCCGCGUGUGUGAAGAAGGUCUUCGGAUUGUAAAGCACUUUAAGUUGGGAGGAAGGGCAGUAAGUUAAUACCUUGCUGUUUUGACGUUACCAACAGAAUAAGCACCGGCUAACUUCGUGC
rnacentral:rRNA from 1 species